rnacentral:lncRNA from 1 species
UUGAUUAGGAUUUUUUUAGAAUUUGGUUAGGAUUUAGUUAGGAUUUGGUUAAGAUUUUUUUAGGAUUUGUUUAGGAUUUGACUAGGAUUUGGUUAAGGUUUGUUUAGGAUAUGAUUAGGAUUUGCUUAGGAUUUGACUAGAAUUUGAUUAAAAUUUGAUUAGAUUUUGAUUAGGAUUUAAUUAAGAUUUCUAUUAUGAUAUUGUAUUAAAGUUUUUAUUUUAGUAUAUUUUUGAAUUUUUAUAUUAUUUCUUUAUAACUCUUUAAAAAAAUUCUAUG